UACAGAGGUGGCAAGCGUUGUUCGGAAUUACUGGGCGUAAAGGGCUCGUAGGUGGCCAACUAAGUCAGACGUGAAAUCCCUCGGCUUAACCGGGGAACUGCGUCUGAUACUGGAUGGCUUGAGUGUGGGAGAGGGAUGCGGAAUUCCAGGUGUAGCGGUGAAAUGCGUAGAUAUCUGGAGGAACACCGGUGGCGAAGGCGGCAUCCUGGACCACGACUGACGCUGAGUGAGCGAAAGCCAGGGGAGCAAACGGG
rnacentral:rRNA from 1 species